rnacentral:rRNA from 1 species
UACGAAGGGGGCUAGCGUUGCUCGGAAUCACUGGGCGUAAAGGGCGCGUAGGUGGCUCUAUAAGUAUGGUGUGAAAUCUCCCGGCUUAACUGGGAGGGUGCGCCGUAGACUGUGGGGCUAGAGUGUGGGAGAGGAAAGUGGAAUUCCUGGUGUAGCGGUGAAAUGCGUAGAUAUCAGGAGGAACACCGGUGGUGUAAACGGCUUUCUGGACCAUAACUGACACUGAGGCACGAAAGCGUGGGUAGCAAACAGG